rnacentral:rRNA from 1 species
UACGUAGGGCGCAAGCGUUGUCCGGAAUUAUUGGGCGUAAAGAGCUCGUAGGCGGCCUGUUGCGUCCGCUGUGAAAUCCCGGGGCUCAACCCCGGGCCUGCAGUGGAUACGGGCUGGCUAGAGGCAGGCAGGGGAGAACGGAAUUCCUGGUGUAGCGGUGAAAUGCGUAGAGAUCGGGAGGAACACCAGUGGCGAAGGCGGCUACCUGGACCAGCACUGACACUGAGGCACGAAAGCGUGGGGAGCAAACAGG